AAUGAACGUUGGCGGCAUGGAUUAGGCAUGCAAGUCGAGCGAGAAGCUCUAGAGUGACGCUUCGGUUGAUCUCUAGAGUGGACAGCGGCGAAAGGGUGAGUAACGCGUAGUUAUCUGCCCCAGGGUCUAGAAUAGCCUCGGGAAACUGAGAGUAAUGCUAGAUAAUAUCUCCGGAUCAAAGGUGAGAUUCCGCCCUGGGAGGAGACUGCGUCCUACUAGCUUGUUGGUGGGGUAAAGGCCUACCAAGGCUACGAUGGGUAGCGGGCGUGAGAGCGUGGCCCGUCACACUGGGACUGAGACACUGCCCAGACACCUACGGGUGGCUGCAGUCGAGAAUCUUCGGCAAUGCGCGAAAGCGUGACCGAGCAAUGCCGCGUGCGGGAUGAAGGCCCUCGGGUUGUAAACCGCGAAAGUAAGGAGGAAGGCUCUGUGAAGAGCAGAGUUUGACCAAUUUACAGUAAGGACGGGCUAAGUUCGUGCCAGCAGCCGCGGUAAGACGAACCGUCCAAACGUUAUUCGGAAUUAUUGGGCUUAAAGGGUGCGUAGGCGGCCCUGUAAGUCAGGUGUGAAAUCCCACGGCUCAACCGUGGAACUGCGCUUGAUACUGCAGG
rnacentral:rRNA from 1 species